CAGCUGUUGAGGAUUGUUUUAAUAUGUGAACAAAUAAGGAGGUUAACAGAUCUGUUUGUUUACUUUCACCUUUCCUUUUCAUUAUAUUUAAUAAUUCUGUUCAGGAUAAUGUAAAUUGUUCAGAAAAUUGUUUUCUUAGUACCAGUUGGAAUGUUACAUAUUUUUUUUUUUUUAGCCGUCAUUGCCAGAAUUCCUAUCUUCAUCCCAGUGCCGGUGAAGACAAAGAUAAAACCAAACUACAGCUUCUUCAAUAGCUAUCACAGUAAACUGUAUAAACUGAUGCAUCAAUGAAUAAUAACUCAACAAGUAAUGCUCAGUCAAGGAGUCGAUUUACUUUGGGAGGAAAUGGACAUAUUGAUGGAUUCCUCUGCUUUGAACUGCUUGCAGAACUUGCCUGGACUAUGUAUCACUUGUAUGCAUUGUGAACUAUCUGUUGGUGCAGCGAAUUGUGGUAGUGCUGGUGUAUCUUUGCUGAUGGUGGCACCAGUGAUACAAUUUUUCCAAAGGAGCCAUCAAUUGGCUUGGUGUCAUGGCAUUUCUGUAUCCUCCUCCCUUCUACUAGUGAUGGUCUAAAAUUUGGGGGCCAACAGAGGUGAGGCAAAGAACCUCACCCCCCCACACACUGGUGCAAAGGCCUAUCCACAAGUAUGGCUGUAUGCUGGACCGGUAGUCAGUGAUGGGUAUGAUCCAAUUGCAGUAGUACCAACCUAAGACAGGAGGCUGACACCUAGAGGUCAGCUCAUCCAAUGACGGGUAAGAACCAUAUGUUGUAUUGGACAGCCUAACAGGCAGGGUCCCUAAGCCACAUUCCUUGUUGUUCAAUUAAACAGAAGGGGGGAGAUGCUGAGAGCCAUAGCCAAGUAGGAAUGAUGCAUGGCAUUUUUGGUUGAAAGGUGAUGCCAGCAAGCCAUUGAGAUGAUAAUGAUUAUGUUAAGAUGUGCAUUCAAUUGGAGAUUAGACCCUUGCUGUCCACCUCGGCCUGCUACUUUGGGGCUCUUUCGGGACUCCCGGAGAGUUCCCAUUGGUUGGGGAAGUGCGGUAGGAGGGAAUUCCGGAGGAGGGAUUUCCUGUUGGUGUAGUGUGUCCCGGGAGAAGGCCGCAUGCGUGGCAUUCGCGGGAGUUUUGGAAAUAAAGUUUGUUCCUGCUUGAGUGGCUCGUGAUUUUGUGCCCAGCCAGACUGCAGCAUGUCUGAGAACACACAGCUAGUGAGUACAGAGCCGGCAUGGAAUCCCAAGCCUGUCUAGUCUAUAGCCAGAGUUAU
rnacentral:lncRNA from 1 species